UAAAUACUCCCUCCGUCCGGAAAUACUUGUCAUUAAAAUAAAUAAAAGGGGAUGUAUCUAGAUGUAUUUUAGUUCUAGAUACAUCCCUUUUUGUUCAUUUUGAUGACAAGUAUUUUUGGACGGAGGGAGUAUAAG
rnacentral:pre_miRNA from 1 species